UUAAAGUUUUAUUUUGACUUAAAAAUUAAAUAUAAUUUUAAUUUAUAUAUAAGUUUUAGUGAAAUAUUUUAGAAAUUUUAAAUAAGUUUUUAAUUUAAAUUUUAGUAAUAAUUAGUUUUAAAUAUUAAAGAAAUUUAGAAUUAGUAAUAAUUAUAAAUAUUAACUAAAUUUGUGCCAGCAGUUGCGGUUAUACAAAUAAUGUAAUUUAAUUUUUUUAGUUUUAAUUAAUUUAAAUAAUUAAAGAUUUUAUUUUAAGAUUUAUUAGGUGAAAUUUUAAAUUUUAUAAUAAUUUUAUUAAAAUUAAUGAUUUAAGAAAUUUUAUUUUUAAACUAGGAUUAGAUACCCUAUUAUUUUUAAUGUAAAAAAUUUUGAGCUAGAUUAGUAUUAGAUAUGUUCUUGAAAAUUAAAAAAUUUGGCGGUAUUUUAGUCUAUUCAGAGGAAUCUGUUCUAUAAUCGAUAAUCCACGAUUAAAUUUACUUGUUUUUUUAGUUUGUAUAUCGUCGUAGAUUAAAUAUUUUAUUAGAAUAUUAAUAUUUAAAAUGUUUAAUUGAUAAAGUAAAUCAGAUCAAGGUGCAGCUUAUAAAUAAGGAGAAAUGGAUUACAAUAAAUAAAUUUAAAUGGAUAAAUAUUUUUAAAGUUUUUUGAAAUUGGAUUUGAAAGUAAUUUUUAUUUUAUAAUAAAAAUGAUUUAAGCUCUAAAAUAUGUACAUAUCGCCCGUCGCUUUCAUUAUAAAGUGAAAUAAGUCGUAACAAAGUAGGCCUACGGGAAUGUGGGCCUGGAAUGA
rnacentral:ncRNA from 1 species